UCAAAAUCCAAUCGAGUUUGCUGCCAAUUUGGCCCUAAAUUGCUAACAUUUUGCUAUCAGGGUACUUGUAAUUAAAUGCUAAAAUGAUAUC